rnacentral:rRNA from 2 species
AGCUUGUUGGUGAGGUAACGGCUCACCAAGGCGACGACGGGUAGCCGGCCUGAGAGGGCGACCGGCCACACUGGGACUGAGACACGGCCCAGACUCCUACGGGAGGCAGCAGUGGGGAAUAUUGCACAAUGGGCGCAAGCCUGAUGCAGCGACGCCGCGUGAGGGAUGACGGCCUUCGGGUUGUAAACCUCUUUCAGCAGGGAAGAAGCGCAAGUGACGGUACCUGCAGAAGAAGCGCCGGCUAACUACGUGCCAGCAGCCGCGGUAAUACGUAGGGCGCAAGCGUUGUCCGGAAUUAUUGGGCGUAAAGAGCUCGUAGGCGGCUUGUCACGUCGGGUGUGAAAGCCCGGGGCUUAACCCCGGGUCUGCAUUCGAUACGGGCUGGCUAGAGUGUGGUAGGGGAGAUCGGAAUUCCUGGUGUAGCGGUGAAAUGCGCAGAUAUCAGGAGGAACACCGGUGGCGAAGGCGGAUCUCUGGGCCAUUACUGACGCUGAGGAGCGAAAGCGUGGGGAGCGAACAGGAUUAGAUACCCUGGUAGUCCACGCCGUAAACGGUGGGAACUAGGUGUUGGCGACAUUCCACGUCGUCGGUGCCGCAGCUAACGCAUUAAGUUCCCCGCCU